CCCAUCCUCCCAUCCCACCAAGGACCUUCAUGGGCAGAGCACACUGUGUUUGACCUUGACAAUGGAGGUAGCUCCCUCCUCCUUGCAGCCUGCCCUCCUCUCAGACCUUACUUUUCUCCAUCUCUCCUGGGUUUCCGUCGUCUUUCCAUGUAAAGAAGUUUUAAAAGCCCAGACACCUGUUGAGGCCAUUUGCCAUUGUUCGCGCUGUGCCAAGUAGGGGUACACAGUGGUCCUCAUCUCCCUGAGUGUGGGCCAUGGCGGCCAGUCCCCAGCACACACCUCCUCUCCCUUCUCUUGGCUGGUGGGUGCUUGUGUCCCCAGCCUCCCUUCCCUGCUUCAGCUCCUCAUCCUGCACACUUGCUCUUGACAGUCUUGUCUGCUAUAACUGGAGGACACCCAGCCUCUAGUUUAGCAUGUUACAUCAUGGGCUCCAGCCAGGGAUGUGCACCGCCCACCUGAUCCUAUUGUAACUGUUCUCUGGACUCAGGUAUCCUCAGUCCCUCCACUGCAGAGUAGCCAUGUGCUUCUUCAGGUCACACUAGGCUUCUGGGACUGCUCAGUGCCACAGAGAGGAAACCUUUCACCUGCCCAAAUCCUGCUCACCCAGUGAGACUCCGCCCAGGCACCACUUCCUCCAGCAAGUCCUCCAGAUUGAUCCUGGGUUCUGCUCUGCUGUCCCCAUGAGGGCUCCCCUCUGCAUUGUAGGUAGAACCCAGGGGCUGGCACAGAGUGAGCACCUCUGACUGUGCCUUGGAGGAAGCCCAAGAACUUGUGAGAGCUCACAAAUGUCUUGUCUUACCCACAGGGACAUGGAGACCUUAAGUCUCAGACGGAAUCAGCGGCAGAGCCAGGACUCAGUCCCAAGAGCCAGGAUCUCAUUUCAUAGUGUGCCCUCCGACCCCAUGGCCAGGAUGGGGGUGAAGGCGCCAGGGAAAGAGGCCACCAAUGGGAUCCUUGUGAAAUGCAAUAGGAGCACGGAGGUGGACCAAGAGCAACAUCUGGAGCACAGUAAGCCUGGGACAAGGCUGCUGUUACUGUGGUUCAUACUGAGGCUCUCCCUGACUUAGCCAGCAUGAUGGCUCUGCACCUUCAGGAAGUGGGCACAUGAUCAGGCCUGGCCAAUCAGAGGACUCCUUCCCUUUGGUCACAGAGAUUGGCUCAGUCUCUACAUUUGACCCAAAUUUGGCCAAUAAAACCCCAUUCUGGGAAUUUUGUGGGAACCCUUAGGAAAAGAAGUCUUCUUCUCACUUGUUCUGAA
rnacentral:lncRNA from 1 species